AGAGUUUGAUCAUGGCUCAGAUUGAACGCUGGCGGCAGGCCUAACACAUGCAAGUCGAGCGGUAACGCGGGGCAACCUGGCGACGAGCGGCGGACGGGUGAGUAACGCGUAGGAAUCUACCUAGUAGUGGGGGAUAGCCCGGGGAAACUCGGAUUAAUACCGCAUACGCCUUAAGGGGGAAAGCAGGGGAUCUUCGGACCUUGUGCUAUUAGAAGAGCCUGCGUUGGAUUAGCUAGUUGGUAGGGUAAAGGCCUACCAAGGCGGCGAUCCAUAGCUGGUCUGAGAGGAUGAUCAGCCACACUGGGACUGAGACACGGCCCAGACUCCUACGGGAGGCAGCAGUGGGGAAUAUUGGACAAUGGGGGCAACCCUGAUCCAGCCAUGCCGCGUGUGUGAAGAAGGCCUUCGGGUUGUAAAGCACUUUAAGUGGGGAGGAAGGGGUGAAAACUAAUACUUUUCAUCAUUGACGCUACCCACAGAAUAAGCACCGGCUAACUCUGUGCCAGCAGCCGCGGUAAUACAGAGGGUGCAAGCGUUAAUCGGAAUUACUGGGCGUAAAGCGCGCGUAGGCGGCUAAUUAAGUCGGGUGUGAAAGCCCCGGGCUCAACCUGGGAAUUGCAUCCGAUACUGAUUGGCUAGAGUAUGAGAGAGGGAGGUAGAAUUCCACGUAGCGGUGAAAUGCGUAGAUAUGUGGAGGAAUACCAGUGGCGAAGGCGGCCUCCUGGCUUAAUACUGACGCUGAGGUGCGAAAGCGUGGGGAUCAAACAGGAUUAGAUACCCUAGUAGUCC
rnacentral:rRNA from 1 species